ensembl:lncRNA
AUGGCUCCACUUCAAAUUCUUCACUUCCAUUCCCUGAAGGAUGAGAAAUCUGUGCCAAAGCCCAUGCUUUGGUGUCCUGUCUACUACAGCUCCCAGGAUAAAACCAGCAGGAGUUUUACUAAAUACGAUUUCAAGGAGGGCUGCUGCUGGGAACCAAUAACCAAGGCACAUCUCACAGCAGCAUCUCACAGUUCAAAGUGUGUAGAAGACCUUGUAAAACAGGCCCACUGUGGAAAGAAGCAUUUAUUUGCUGCAUCUCUUGCCAAUGUAAUUGUUGGCUGAACAAGAUCUCUGGAAGUCUCUAGUUCAACAACCUGCUCCAAGUAAGACUGGAUCAAGUGCAGUAAAUUUAACAGUGGAUCCUCAGUACAGGAGAGACAUCUGACAUUUUUCCUGUACUGAGGGCAUUUGUCCUCGGUACAGAAGAGAUAUGGAGCUGUAGGAGCACAUCCUGAGGAGGGGCUCAAAAAUGAUCCAAGGGAUGGAACAUCUCUCUUACAAGGACAGGCUAAGAGUGCUGGGGCUGCUCAGUCUGGAAGAGAGGAAGAUCUGAAGUGACCUGACAGUGCAUGCCCCUGUUUAUUGCAGGCAGUUGGACUAGAUGACCUUUAAAGGUCCCUUCCAACUCUAAGGAUUCUAUGAUCAAAAGCCCCAUGGCUUUGUCUGGCUUAGUCUAGACCCGUGACUGUAGGUACCAUCACAUCUUUCAGUGUUUCACCACUCUCCUGGUGGACCUUCUCCUUCUCUGCUUUAACUUUGCAGCUUGUUGGUGUUAGAGUAAUUGAUUCAGCUUUGCUCCACAAACUGCUGUUUCUUUCUUCCUGCCUUGUUUGUUUGUUUUUUGUGGUGGUUGUUGUUGUUGUUAUAUGGCUAUUAGCUUUCAAGAUUCUCUUCUGUAAUGUUGUCACUGAUAUGGACAUCUUGAUUAUUUCUUUUGCGGGCAGUAGAAGUGUGUGUUUGAUACCUAGAUUUUCUGGUUUGAUAAGACUGAGAAAAUUGUUACAAGAAGAAUGUGAUUUCCAGUCCUUGCUGUCCAAAACAUGAUUUUAUCAUUGUUAACAGACUAUCUGCAUUGUGCUGAGGACUGAUGAACUCUUUGUAGUAGUGAAUAAAGAUUAUUUAUCUUUAAUGAUAAUUCUAUCU